GCGGCGAUAGGCAGUGAUCCGGUUAUCAUAGACUGCCUAACGGCGAGGGGGAGGACUCGGGUGAAAGAUACCUGUGUCCUGAGAGGCUAUAUACAUCCAAGCCAAAGAUGAAAAGCUGCUCUCAGCAAUCUGAAUUUUAAAAUUUCUAGCGACAAAUAAGAUUAUGAAACAGGCAAUGUUUUGUUCCAGAAGUGUAAUGGUUGUGCUGCACUCCUGCCCAACAUAUCAAAAUGUUUUGUAACUGUAUGAAGUGCCCUCUCAGGAAUGUUCUGUAACUCUGCCCCUCUGCUUUAGUGAGCAUGCUCACUUGCCCUGUAGAUCCCUAUAUAAGGAAUCUCUCAUUCCUAUUGAGGUGCUCAGACUUCAGAGUAUGAACUUCUUGGAGCCUGGCAGCAUAAUAAAGGUUUUUCUCCACCUCUUCAAGUGACCGUCAGAUUCUUGAGUCUUCAAAUCGUGAUAGCUGUGACCCAGAGCUGUAACACUGAGCUGUAACAUGCAGCUGUGCCUCAGAGCUAUGGCACUUGGUUGUGACACUGAGCUGUUCUGCUUUGCCACAAUACUCUAGUAAAAUUCCUCCAGUGGUUUGUUGUAGGGAGAUACUGCUUUCAUAGUUUAGUCUGGUGAUGACUGUCGUGGUUUGAAUAUUGGAUUUUUUCAACCUUGCACCAAGUCCAACUCCUGCUUACUUGAAGAGUCUUUCGUUAUUAAUAUAGAAGGUACGAUGUGGCAAGCUGGCUGGAGAAGUGGGAAGGACCUAUAAAUUACAAGACCCCAGAGCAGUGCCAGAUGAUUCUCAAGACCAUAUAUGUAGAACUUUUGGCAGGCUCCCAUGAGAUGUGGAAGGUACAAAGAAGACCAGAUGCCACCAGGACCUUGCUGUCGUGACUCCUCAUGGUAGUCCACCCUGGAUCUUUUUUCUCUUUUCCUCUUUUGAUCAGCCCAAGUUCACUCUGAAGAGCCAGUUUUCCACUUACUGCUUCAUGCCUAACCUUUGAAAUAAACUUUUGGCACUGUUUUUGGCUUGUCUUAUCCAAUUCUUUGUUUGAGGCAAAAAAGACCUGAAAUACUUUUGUUUGGUGAGCUAUUUUUGAGGAAACUACCC